UACAGAGGGUGCAAGCGUUGUUCGGAAUUAUUGGGCGUAAAGGGCGCGUAGGCGGUGCGGUAAGUCUGCAGUGAAAUCUCUGGGCUCAACUCAGAGUCUGCUGUAGAAACUGCCGUGCUUGAGUGUGGGAGAGGUGAGUGGAAUUCCUGGUGUAGCGGUGAAAUGCGUAGAUAUCAGGAGGAACACCUGUGGCGAAAGCGGCUCACUGGACCAUAACUGACGCUGAGGCACGAAAGCUAGGGGAGCAAACAGG
rnacentral:rRNA from 1 species